GGCAAAAUGACUUAUUUGCUGAUAAGAUUUUGUUGUCAUUUGAGCAGAUGGUCGAGAAAUAUCGACUCCCAAAGCAGGACUUUUUCCGCUUCCUACAAGUAAGACAUUAUAUUCUGAAGAGCACCACCUUAAUUGGUAACCCUGAUGUGUCUGUCAUUGAAAGAAUGCUUUUUUUUCCCCACAAAGGAAAAUGUCUGUAAGUCUGUUUGAUGAUACUUUAAGGUCCUUUUCUGCUGUCAACACACAGAGGGUGAAACAAGUCUAUAAUUUUAAUGGUUUAUUUGAACAGUGAGAGAAUAGCAACAAAACAAUCCAGAAAAACGUCCAAAAAUGUUAUAAAUUGAUUGGUGGGCAAACGUACAAAAUCUGCAAGGGGAUCAUACUUUUUUCACACACUGUUUUCUGUAUGUCCCCCACACUAGAAUCCCCUUUAUACUGUAUAAAUAAAUAGAGAAAGGACUCAGGGACUAUGUGGAACAGGGAAGAGACUCAGGGACUAUGUGGAACAGGGAAGAGACUCAGGGACUAUGUGGAACAGGGAAGAGACUCAGGGACUAUGUGGAACAGGGAAGAGACUCAGGGACUAUGUGGAACAGGGAAGAGACUCAGGGACUAUGUGGAACAGGGAAGAGACUCAGGGACUAUGCUAAUUUGGUAUAGAGCAGACGUAACCCACUCUAUUAAAAUAGUCAAAACAGGAACAUUUUACAUUUCGCUUGAAAUUCAAGAGGAAAUUAUCUCAACGGAGGAAAAUGUCCUCCUGUGUGCUACCUAUAUCCCCCCACUAGAAUCCUCAUACUUUAAUGAAGACAGCUUCUCCAUCCUGGAGGGGGAAAUAAAUCAUUUCCAGGCCCAGGGACAUGUACUAGUCUGUGGCAACCUAAAUGCCAGGUCUGGACAAGAACCUGACACCCUCAGCACACAGGGGGACAAACACCUACCUGGAGGUGACAGCAUUCCCUCCCCCAUAUGCCCCCCUAGGCACAACUAUGACAACAUAACCAACAAAAACACGUCACAACUCCUGCAGCUCUGUUGCACGCUGGGUAUGUACAUAGUCAACGGUAGGCUUCGAGGGGACUCCUAUGGUAGGUACACCUAUAGCUCAUCUCUUGGCAGUAGUACUGUAGACUACUUUAUCACUGACCUCAACCCAGAGUCUCUCAGAGCGUUCACAGUCAGCCCACUGACACCCCUAUCAGACCACAGCAAAAUCACAGUCUACUUAAACAGAGCAAUACUCAAUCAUGAGGCAUCAAAGCCAAAGGAACUGAGUAACAUUAAGAAAUGCUAUAGAUGGAAGGAAUGUAGUUUGGAAACCUACCAAAAAACAAUUAGGCAACAACAAAUUCAAUCCCUUUCAGACAAUUUCCUGGGUAAAACGUUCCACUGUAAUAGUGAAGAUGUAAACUUGGCAGUAGAAAAUGUUAACAGUAUAUUUGACCUCAGCUUCCCUAUCAAAUGUAAAAAUCUCAAAAAGAAAACCAAAGAAAAUGAACAAUGACAAAUGGUUUGAUGAAG
rnacentral:lncRNA from 1 species